UGGGUGCUCAGCGAUAAACAAUUCUACAGCUAGAGCCAGCACACAAAGAAGUUUCAAACUGUCACAAGGUAACUUACUGCUCUGGGGUUUUUCAGUAUUAUUUCCUCAGUUCAACUCAAAAAAGAAUGAUGCAUACAGAAAGAAGAGAAAAUGUGGUUUUAAUCCUCCCUACCAUCUGUAAGCUUCUAAGGCUUAUUGGCCAUGAAGACUUUACAAUUAUUAGAUGACCUGACUGAGGAGCAUUCACAGAAGAGAAUGAGAAGAAGGAAUUAACUUUCACAGACAGAGUCUCCACAGUCAGGCCUGACUACAGGGAACAGCCCAUGGAAGAGUAUACAUCUUGUUGUACUGUUUCUGCCAGAACUGCUUUAUUUGGGAAAACAACAGAAAACAGGCUCAACUAAAAUUAAUAGAGAGUCAUAACUUACACUGUCAACUAGAAUACUGGCAACAGAAAAAUAUAUAGUAAAAGAACAAGCUGUUUUGGGUGGGAGAAAAUUCGCUUUCUCUACCUUAGAAAUAAGUCAGGGUAAGACAAUACUAUUUAUUAUCUAUUUUGCACUACCUCCUGUGUAUAAACACUUAAAAAAAAUCAGUCCACAUGCACAAAGAUGCUCUGAGCUGAGAGCAUGCCUUCCCCUUAAAGAGCUCCUUCAGCAAGCUGUGAACAGAACCAAAGUGAAGGAGUCAUAGCUGGUUACUCUUCAGUGCCAUGCCAUAGCUAGCUACUUAUAGUGUUCAGUGAAUGGCAUUGCAUUCCACUGAGCACCUUUUUCAUUAAAGAACUUUAAGAGGACUACUGCAAAAUAGCUAGCAGUCUAAAUUCAUACCAUUAAUGUGCUCUAAUUCCCUUUGUAAACAAACUCAGGUUCAGACUACUACUCAUCUUACUAUUGGCUUAUCAGCUUACAUACUCACUUUAAAGGAUGAUAGUUAUAACCUGCUGUGGAGAACUUUCUGAUGCAUUAUAAAUACCCAAGCUAAGUCUCCGAGUACAUUACAUUUGUGACCCCCAAUGGAAUAAGAAUUUCUUGAGACUGAUCCCCCAACAAUAGGUCAGAACCUUGAGGGUUUUUUUUCCUAUUUCUACUGGCUUACUUGUCUGUUUUUAACUGGAAACACCAUUUACCUAUCUUAAAUGCAUAAAGUUUAUGAUUAUGUUACUUAGUCUGAGUCAGACAAGCAAUAAGAAUACUUGGAACAGCAGAUUACCAGGUAGAAGGAGAUAUUUCUGAAUUCUUUUCAUUUCAACCUGAAAUAAUGCCAAAAAAGUGAAUGCCAUUAUGCAAGCUACAGACAACUCAUAAUUAAUGUCUGUAAUCCCUGUGUAAUUUAGCCUUUAAAGGGGAAGAAUCAAAACAACUAUCAGUUAUAAAGACCAUAGAGCAAUGUUGUUUUACACGUAAGUGUUAUCAGUUUAUUUCCAAGAUUUUUUUAAAAAGUGUCAAAUGUGAGAGUCAUUGUUUGAUUACAUCCCUUGCAAAUUGUCAAGCGCAAUCUUUAGGGAGGCUUUUCUCAUCCCCAGUUUGAUGUGCUAGGUGGAAAUGAGAACUCCACUGACAGCAGGCCAGAUGACUGAUAAAGUACACAUCUAGCAUUGAGUCAAAUGCUCCACAAUCCCAACAUAUACACUUGACAAAGAGACAGACAUUUGUGUAAUUAACAUUUGGCAAGAAAGAGGCUGCAGUCAGUAGGCAGCUUACCAAGACCUGAAUACCUCUAGUCAUCUGUGUAAUAUGUGCACCAGCUGUCAGUCAGAGCUGGGGGGGGGUUUCUCUAGACUGUCAUGUGUGUGCACCUCUUCCUAGCUCACAGCAGAAAAGCCCUCCCUUUCCAGAAGCUGUCAGAGACAGACUUUUCAGCAGACAUGAAUGCAGAGUAGAUUAGCAAAUUUCUAAAUACACAAGAUAAGGGUUGGAACCACAGUAAACUUACCUAGUAGUUUAAAGUAUUUCCAUAGUCAGAACUAUAAAAGUCUAAAGAAUUUGUACCAAAAUAGAUGCACUGAAACACAUUUUUGGUACAAGUUCUCAUUAAGGUUCCUUCCUUGUUUUCCCUUGCUGGAAACAAAGAUAAGCCCUAUCCACUCAUAGCAAAGGAUGCAAACCCAGAAUAUUUUUACCUUUUCUUGAAGACAAGCAUCUCCGAAUACAGUAUCUCUGCUCCUCUUACCUCCAGAUUACAACAGUAGAUUUACUGCCUUUUUUCUGGAAGAGCUGUGACAUUUUUACUGUAAAGCAGACAAUGCUCAGCAUGAUGUUUCAAACAAGCUCUCUUGCCUACAUGCUCCAAGUUGUGAGGCAUCAGCAAAGCAACUUGUUUGUUUCCUAAAGCAAAAAUCUGGAAUGAUGCCUUUGUUCCCAGACAGCAAGACUUAAUCUAUUUGAGACUAACUCUCUGGGAAGCUUGGUUAAUAGUUGCAGCAGGGUACUGAAGCACUACUACUAUUAUAUUCAGAAAGAGAUCAUUUUAAAAUAUCCAUAGAUCCAAAAAACCCAAACAACAUCAGUCUUCAAGACUGAAGGUUGAAAAACAUCUCUUUUUCAAAAACGUGGGAAACUUACUGUGAAGUUAGUUUCAAAAAACAGUCUAUAUUAGCCAUUGAGUCUGUUGAAGUCAUCCUUGCUUUAAGAGGGCUAGGUGCCCUUCUGUAUUAUGGUUUAUAGACUUGAGUAGAAUUUUAGACAUUUAUGGUAGCAGAAAAUUCAGCUCUUCUCUUCAAAAGGCAGAGUCAAUGCAAAUGCUGGUAAGAGGAAAUUCACACUGAAAUGAAAGCAUGCAUUCUGCUCAGAGUCAUUCUAGGUUUUAUACUAUCUCAGUGAUUUUCAGUUACAAUUUUGAAAACAUAUGCAAGAAAAACUGUAUGAAAAUUGUUCAUUGACAAAUGCAUCUUUAUCUGCUGUGGAUAGAACUUUAACUGGUACUUUUCCAUGCAGAGUCUCCCCCACUUCCAGAAUACAAAUACUUAGACACAGCUACAGUAAAGAAAAAUUCCAAGUGACUUGGAUACAUAGCCAUUAGCAAUAGAGAUUUUUGAAGUGUCAAAAAGCAUGUCGUCACUGGUCUUUUCAGAAAGAUGUGCAAGUAAACUCAAAGUAGCAACCACAGGUGAUAUUUCUCAGUUCACCAGUAAAACAGAGGUACUCUUGGAUACCAUACAAAAGCCCUUAUUAGCAAGUAAGUCAAAUGCUUACAUCUGUGUCCUUGGUUGAGACUAUAUCCCUGUUCCCCUGGCAAACUCAAAGUAUAAUUGCCCCGGCAGAGCAAGCAAUACAGUGUAGUUAUUUGACAACUGUAUAUUAAUACAAGUUCAUAUGCAUCUAGUUGUGUUUUUAACUGAAAACAUGCCUUCUGCACUGUAAACAAAUUAUGUUUUAUUUGUCCCAUUUCCCUGUCUUUUUCUGGACAACUGUUGGCUUGAAACUGAGUUUUGAGUUAAAUACAAGAAUAAAACUUAUCAUAGAAUUAAGGUUUAAAAUCCUUUGUACGUUAGGUUAAAGGCGGUAUUAGUACAUCUUAUUACUUUGCCAUUUCCAAUGCCUUGUAAAAGAUAAGAUUAUCUCAUUAAUCCUGUUGUACUCCCUCUAAGGAGGUGAAACACUAGAUAAAAGAACACAGAAAUAAAGCAGUUGAUAA